AGAGUUUGAUCCUGGCUCAGAACGAACGCUGGCGGCGUGCUUAACACAUGCAAGUCGAACGCGAAAGCAGACUUCGGUCUGUAAGUAGAGUGGCGCACGGGUGAGUAACGCGUAGAUAAUCUGCCCCUAUAUCUGGGAUAACCAGCCGAAAGGCUAGCUAAUACCGGAUACCCUUACUAAGACGCGAGUCUAAGUGAGGAAAGGUGACCUCUUCUUGAAAGUUGCCGUAUAGGGAUGAGUUUGCGUACCAUUAGCUUGUUGGUGAGGUAAAGGCUUACCAAGGCGACGAUGGUUAGCGGGUCUGAGAGGAUGAUCCGCCACACUGGAACUGAAACACGGACCAGACUCCUACGGGAGGCAGCAGUGAGGAAUAUUGCGCAAUGGGGGAAACCCUGACGCAGCGACGCCGCGUGGGUGAAGAAGGCCUUAGGGUUGUAAAGCUCUGUCGGAUGGGAAGAAAUGCAAUAUGGUUAAUACCCAUAUUGUUUGACGGUACCAUCAAAGGAAGCACCGGCUAAAUCCGUGCCAGCAGCCGCGGUAAUACAAGGGC
rnacentral:rRNA from 1 species